GUUUUUACGGUGCUGUCAAAAAUCUCGCCUUUAGUCUCUGUAGACGUUGCUUUUCGUACUACACAGGAUGACGGGUGGGGUUCUUUUCUCACGGGCCCAGCUUUGCAGAGUCUAUGCGUCGCGUGGCUCUGGUGAAAAAGGGGCUGACUACAGGGAUCGUGGGCGACGUGGGGUUGGUCGAUUCCUGGGGCGUGCGGUGAAAAAUCUAGCCAAUCGUCUCCUUCCUCGAGCCCCGCGUCCCCCUCCAGUUCACAUCUCUCCUCCUUCCAUGAGCUCCGAUUCCUGGGACGGCAGCAGCGGCAGCAAGCGGCGACGGGAGCAGGGGCCGGGUCAGCAGGGGCAGCCAGCGGCGACGGGAGCAGGGGCCGGGUCAAGGCAGGUGUUGGCGGCCUAGAUGCAGACAACGGUGGCUGUUGACGGGGGCCUGGUGUGCGUGGCGGCGGAUGGAAGGGCGACAGCGGCCUGCGGGGCGUCGACCGGAACGGCAGCGACCUCCAUGGAAGAGAAGGGCCCGGCAGGCUCGUGCAGGCGGGAGAAGCUGGGGGCGCUCGUCGAUUGGGCAGAUGGAGGCCAUCGAAGUUUCUUCAAUCGAUCUGGACAGGGCCAUGGCAACGUACGCGAGAGGUGGAGGCGAGCAACCCUCUGGAGGCACGCACGUCGAGAGGUUUUGUACAUCAGCCUACCGAAAACAUUCAGUUAUUGACAAAUCAUGACAUUACAAUCUGACAAAUCAUGCAUGCAAAAUCUGACCAAGUGUAAAAGCUUAUCAAAGCUCUCAUUCCUUGUUAUGUUAUAAACUGAAUGCCAAGAUAGAUUUCUCAGUGUACAAAUUGUUUGCACUUUUUAAGCACUGAAAUCUGUAUAUUUUAGAUAAAGUAGCAUUUGCCAGUAGAAGUCAUGGUUGGAUCAACAUAUUUUCCACUGAAAUCCUUUUUUAAUGCAAGUUUACGGCUAUUCGGAGUUCUUAA